UGGGGAAUUUUGGACAAUGGGCGCAAGCCUGAUCCAGCCAUGCCGCGUGCGGGAAGAAGGCCUUCGGGUUGUAAACCGCUUUUGUCAGGGAAGAAAUCUUCUGAGUUAAUCCCUCGGGAGGAUGACGGUACCUGAAGAAUAAGCACCGGCUAACUACGUGCCAGCAGCCGCGGUAAUACGUAGGGUGCAAGCGUUAAUCGGAAUUACUGGGCGUAAAGCGUGCGCAGGCGGUUUUGUAAGACAGAGGUGAAAUCCCCGGGCUCAACCUGGGAACUGCCUUUGUGACUGCAAGGCUUGAGUGCGGCAGAGGGGGAUGGAAUUCCGCGUGUAGCAGUGAAAUGCGUAGAUAUGCGGAGGAACACCGAUGGCGAAGGCAAUCCCCUGGGCCUGCACUGACGCUCAUGCACGAAAGCGUGGGGAGCAAACAGGAUUAGAUACCCUGGUAGUCCACGCCCCUAAAACGAUGUCAACUGGUUGUUGGGAAGGUUCCUUCUCAGUAACGUAGCUAACGCGUGAAGUUGACCGCCUGGGGGAGUACGGCCGCAAGGUUGAAACUCAAAUGAAUUGAU
rnacentral:rRNA from 1 species